rnacentral:sRNA from 1 species
CUUCUGAGUCGUUUCCGUUUCG